rnacentral:rRNA from 1 species
UACGAAGGGGGCUAGCGUUGUUCGGAAUUACUGGGCGUAAAGCGCGCGCAGGCGGCUAUCCAAGUCAGUGGUGAAAGCCCGGAGCUCAACUCCGGAACUGCCAUUGAAACUGUUUAGCUUGAGGAUGAGAGAGGUGAGUGGAAUUCCCAGUGUAGAGGUAAAAUUCGUAGAUAUUGGGAAGAACACCGGUGGCGAAGGCGGCUCACUGGCUCAUUACUGACGCUCAGGCGCGAUGAGCGUGGGGAUCAAACAGG